UGAUGUGGUCGGAGACGAUGCAACUUUUGCAGGUGUCGUCCAAAGUCACGCGGGUGCCUAUCCCCUGCUCGCGAUCUGAGUUCUGUUUGCUUGGUUUCGGCGGAGAUUUCUCCGGAAAGUGCAGCACCUGGCCAGGCCACGCCCGGGGCGAGCGAAACACGCUCGCAAUCCGGACGUACACGUACGCCCUCCGCCCUUCACCGUCGCUACCUGGCGGCAAGUCUGUCUAGGGACGCGGGCUGAAUCGGAUGAGACUUGCGAAGCUAGAUCGGGGCCAUCGACCCAAUCUCCAGCGAUAGAGGAAGCUAUACGUGCGAGAAACCCAUCCGGCCAUCUGUCCAACAGACUUCGCAUCUUCCGCCGGAUCGAGAUUGCAGAGCCCAGACAACGAUUGGCAAUGCAGGAGGGUUAUUCAGUGACGGCUGAUCUCUAAUUUGAUUAUAUAAUAAGGUGGCAUAAUGGGUAUUGUUAUUCCACAUCUUCCUCCACACAACUUACGCUAUGUUCUCAAUCCUGCCAGAUUUGGUACUGCAGACUGCAAGUGUGAUUAGUCAUUACUCAUUAGUGUGUUUUCAGCUCUGCAUAUUAUAUGGCCCAGUCUAAUAUAUUUCGAAAAAGGGUUUCCCCACUUUGUAUUACAAAGCAACCAGUAUAUUGUAAAUGAUUGGCGAGUGAAUUCCUUUCA